rnacentral:rRNA from 1 species
AAAGCGCACGUAGGCGGCUUUGUAAGUAAGAGGUGAAAGCCUGGUGCUCAACACCAGAACUGCCUUUUAGACUGCAUCGCUUGAAUCCAGGAGAGGUGAGUGGAAUUCCGAGUGUAGAGGUGAAAUUCGUAGAUAUUCGGAAGAACACCAGUGGCGAAGGCGGCUCACUGGACUGGUAUUGACGCUGAGGUGCGAAAGCGUGGGGAGCAAACAGGAUUAGAUACCCGAGU